UUGAUGGAGAACGUCGGGGUUUGAUGGAGAACGUCGGGGUUUGAUGGAGAACGUCGGGGUUUGAUGGAGAACGGUGAUGUUUGAUGGAGAACGUCGGGGUUUGAUGGAGAACGUCGAGGUUUGAUGGAGAACGUUGGGGUUUGAUGGUCAAAAUUGGUUAUUAAAAAACAUUUACUGUUCCCAAUUUCAAAUAUACAAUUUAAAAACACCCACAGUGAACAACACAACUGAAAACUAAAAUAAAAGAGAACACUCGGAGGUUGUGUUUUUAAAUCACUCCAUGUUUAUUUCCACAUUGUGUUUGGGAGAUGAGUUUAGGACAACACGGUCCUGUUACACACAGCAGAACCUACAGCUCCAGUUUGAACAGUCAUUUAGUUUGGAUAGAAGAGAUCAUCUCCAUACAGUUCCAUAUACACCAUACACACGCUAUGUACACACACACACACACACACACACACACACACACCUUACCCUUAUACUGACCAUGAGAGAACACAAGUAUGAGUAGAACCUCGUACGUAAGCAGAAACAUGUCCAGUUUGAUCUCGUCACAGUUCCACACGCCGUUCUGUGACCGCUCUUCACCAUCAGUGCAUCAGAACAUCUUCACAUUAACACCUGAUCCUGUUUCAGCAGCAGGUUUCCACUUCCCCUUCCCUCCUGGAGGGAGGAUCAUUGUUAGAAAUGCCACUACAAUCACAACACCUCCAGAAGAAGUGAUUCGUCCUUCAGUGUUUACAAAAAAAUAAUAAUAAUAAGAUCAGUAGUCCAUCUGUCAAUCAAAACUCAGCCAUGUUUGGUCUCAGCAGGUCUCUGUGUAAUCCAAAUCCAAAAA
ensembl:lncRNA